rnacentral:rRNA from 1 species
GAAUAUUGGACAAUGGGCGAAAGCCUGAUCCAGCCAUGCCGCGUGUGUGAAGAAGGUCUUCGGAUUGUAAAGCACUUUAAGUUGGGAGGAAGGGUUGUAGAUUAAUACUCUGCAAUUUUGACGUUACCGACAGAAUAAGCACCGGCUAACUUCGUGCCAGCAGCCGCGGUAACACGAAGGGUGCAAGCGUUAAUCGGAAUUACUGGGCGUAAAGCGCGCGUAGGUGGUUUGUUAAGUUGGAAGUGAAAGCCCCGGGCUCAACCUGGGAAUUGCAGUGGAUACUGGGCGACUAGAGUGUGGUAGAGGGUAGUGGAAUUCCCGGUGUAGCAGUGAAAUGCGUAGAUAUAGGAAGGAACACCAGUGGCGAAGGCGACCACCUGGGCUAAUACUGACACUGAGGUGCGAAAGCGUGGGGAGCAAACAGG